ACCCGCUGAACUUAAGCAUAUCAAUAAGCGGAGGAAAAGAAACUAACAAGGAUUCCCCUAGUAACGGCGAGUGAAGCGGGAAGAGCUCAAAUUUGUAAUCUGGCACCUUCGGUGUCCGAGUUGUAAUCUCGAGAAGUGUUUUCCGCGCCGGACCGCAUACAAGUCUGUUGGAAUACAGCGUCAUAGUGGUGAGAACCCCGUAACUGAUGCGGAUGCCCGGUGCUUUGUGAUACACUUUCGAAGAGUCGAGUUGUUUGGGAAUGCAGCUCAAAUUGGGUGGUAAAUUCCAUCUAAAGCUAAAUAUUGGCGAGAGACCGAUAGCGAACAAGUACCGUGAGGGAAAGAUGAAAAGCACUUUGGAAAGAGAGUUAACAGUACGUGAAAUUGUUGGAAGGGAAACGCUUGAAGUCAGACUUGCUAUUUGGAGUUCAGCCGCAAGGUGUAUUCUUCAAUUUGCAGGCCAGCAUCAGUUUUUGGGGGUGAAAAAGGGUAUUGAGAAGGUAGCAGUUUCGGCUGUGUUAUAGCUCUUUGCUGGAUUCAUCCUUGGGGACUGAGGUACGCAGCGCGCUUUUUGCAAGGUUCUCGGGCCUAUCGCGCUUAGGAUGCUGGUGGAAUGGCUUUAAACGACCCGUCUUGAAACACGG
rnacentral:rRNA from 1 species